GACGAACGCNGGCGGCGUGCCUAAUACAUGCAAGUAGAACGCUGAAGCUUGGUGCUUGCACCGAGCGGAUGAGUUGCGAACGGGUGAGUAACGCGUAGGUAACCUGCCUGGUAGCGGGGGAUAACUAUUGGAAACGAUAGCUAAUACCGCAUGAUAUUGAUUAUUGCAUGAUAGUCAAUUAAAAGGUGCAAUUGCAUCACUACCAGAUGGACCUGCGUUGUAUUAGCUAGUUGGUGAGGUAACGGCUCACCAAGGCAACGAUACAUAGCCGACCUGAGAGGGUGAUCGGCCACACUGGGACUGAGACACGGCCCAGACUCCUACGGGAGGCAGCAGUAGGGAAUCUUCGGCAAUGGACGGAAGUCUGACCGAGCAACGCCGCGUGAGUGAAGAAGGUUUUCGGAUCGUAAAGCUCUGUUGUAAGAGAAGAACGAGUGUGAGAGUGGAAAGUUCACACNGNGACGG
rnacentral:rRNA from 1 species